rnacentral:rRNA from 1 species
GACGAACGCUGGCGGCGUGCUUAACACAUGCAAGUCGAACGGAAAGGCCCUGCUUUUGUGGGGUGCUCGAGUGGCGAACGGGUGAGUAACACGUGAGUAACCUGCCCUUGACUUUGGGAUAACUUCAGGAAACUGGGGCUAAUACCGGAUAGGAGCUCCUGCUGCAUGGUGGGGGUUGGAAAGUUUCGGCGGUUGGGGCUGGACUCGCGGGUUAUCAGCCUGUUGGUGGGGUAGUGGCUUACCAAGGCUUUGACGGGUAGCCGGCCUGAGAGGGUGACCGGCCACAUUGGGACUGAGAUACGGCCCAGACUCCUACGGGAGGCAGCAGGGGGGAAUAUUGCACAGUGGGCGGAAGCCUGAGACGGCAACGCCGCGUGCGGGAUAACGGCCUUCUGGUUGUAAACCGCUUUCGCCUGUGACGAGGCGUGAGUGACGGUAAUGGGUAAGGAAGCACCGGCUAACUACGUG